rnacentral:rRNA from 1 species
UACGAAGGGGGCUAGCGUUGCUCGGAAUCACUGGGCGUAAAGCGCACGUAGGCGGCUUGUUAAGUCAGGUGUGAAAUCCUGGAGCUCAACUCCAGAACUGCCUUUGAUACUGGCGAUCUUGAGUCCGGGAGAGGUGAGUGGAACUGCGAGUGUAGAGGUGAAAUUCGUAGAUAUUCGCAAGAACACCAGUGGCGAAGGCGGCUCACUGGCCCGGUACUGACGCUGAGGUGCGAAAGCGUGGGGAGCAAACAGG